rnacentral:rRNA from 1 species
UACGUAGGGUGCGAGCGUUAAUCGGAAUUACUGGGCGUAAAGCGUGCGCAGGCGGCUUUGCAAGACAGAUGUGAAAUCCCCGGGCUCAACCUGGGAAUUGCAUUUGUGACUGCAAGGCUAGAGUACGGCAGAGGGGGAUGGAAUUCCGCGUGUAGCAGUGAAAUGCGUAGAUAUGCGGAGGAACACCAAUGGCGAAGGCAAUCCCCUGGGCCUGUACUGACGCUCAUGCACGAAAGCGUGGGGAGCAAACAGG